CCUACGGGAGGCAGCAGUGGGGAAUAUUGCACAAUGGGGGAAACCCUGAUGCAGCGACGCCGCGUGAGCGAUGAAGUAUUUCGGUAUGUAAAGCUCUAUCAGCAGGGAAGAAAAUGACGGUACCUGACUCAGAAGCCCCGGCUAACUACGUGCCAGCAGCCGCGGUAAUACGUAGGGGGCAACCGUUAUCCGGAUUUACUGGGUGUAAAGGGAGCGUAGACGGUCCUGCAAGCCAGAUGUGAAAGCCCGGGGCUCAACCCCGGGACUGCAUUUGGAACUGGAAGGCUAGAGUGUCGGAGAGGCAGGCGGAAUUCCUAGUGUAGCGGUGAAAUGCGUAGAUAUUAGGAGGAACACCAGUGGCGAAGGCGGCCUGCUGGACGAUGACUGACGUUGAGGCUCGAAAGCGUGGGGAGCGAACAGGAUUAGAUACCCUAGUAGUC
rnacentral:rRNA from 1 species